rnacentral:rRNA from 1 species
GAUGAACGCUGGCGGCGUGCCUAAUACAUGCAAGUCGAGCGAAAAGACGAGGAGUUUGCUCCUCUGACGUUAGCGGCGGACGGGUGAGUAACACGUGGACAACCUACCUAUAAGACUGGGAUAACUUCGGGAACCCGGAGCUAAUACAGGAUAAUAUAUUGAACCGCAUGGUUCAAUAGUGAAAGACGGCUUUGCUGUCACUUAUAGAUGGAUCCGCGCCGCAUUAGCUAGUUGGUAAGGUAACGGCUUACCAAGGCAACGAUGCGUAGCCGAUCUGAGAGGGUGAUCGGCCACACUGGAACUGAGACACGGCCCAGACUCCUACGGGAGGCAGCAGUAGGGAAUCUUCCGCAAUGGGCGAAAGCCUGACGGAGCAACGCCGCGUGAGUGAAGAAGGUCUUCGGGUCGUAAAGCUCUUUUAUUAGGAAAGAACAAAUGGGUAAUAAACUGGGCACGGCAUGACGGUACCGAAACAGAAAGCCACGGCUAACUACGUG